ACCUUUCUCGGGCCCGAGAUGAGGCGGUGGGGCCUUCGCGACACGGGAAGGAGCGGGCCUCGCAGCCUGCCCAGCACAGGUGCGUGAAGCGGCCCGUGUUGGCCGCACGGCUGAUACAGGAUCCGCGGGGACCGGCCGUGGCAGUGCAGGGCCCGGCCGUGCAGCCGUAAGUGAGCCGCAGUGCAGCCCUCUGCGAUAGGCUCGUGGAGCGUUGCAGUGGAUGAACCCAGCGCUGUGCUUGACCGGGGGGUUUCGGAACUAAAGGUGGAGUGCCUGAGCUGCGUGCACCACCCGUGCGCUCCGACCCGUUUAAUGAUUCCUAAAGCAGUUUUGGAGGUCAGCGAAGCCCCUGGCUGCUUGCCAGAAUCACGCAUAGAAACUGCAGGGUAUCUCUCCUCCCCCCCCCCUUUCUCCCCCCCUCCUUUCCCGGGGGGGCUUUGGGAAAAUAGGAGCCGUCGUGAACUUUUGAGCACCUACUGCACCAGGCAACUGCCGAGCAGAUUUACCGAUCUCGCCUUUGUGCAGACUUGUUUUCCGAACGGCCGUAACGUGACGCUGUUUUGACAGCCUGGUGCUGAACCGCCCUGCCCUUCGCUGCCGUAUCCGCCAACAGAAGCAUCGCGCAGGUUGAAAGCGCUGGAAAUGGUGGGAAAAAAAAAAAAAAAAAAAAAAAAUGUUAUUAAAGAUUUUAAUCCCCUACCGUGGCAAUGUCACACCUCCAGCCGGUCUAUUAAUCUGGAAUGUAGGAGGGGCCUUCUGCUGCCUUCUUUCUGCUCCUUCCUCCUUAAUGCAGUUCAAAAGCUGAUCCAGGGGAAAAUCCAACGGCUGCCUUCACCCCAAGUGGCUGAGCAAUCACAGCACUCCCAGGCUGGUUUCUCUCAGGACUCCGAACACCACAGGGCCACCUGUAGUACAACAGCUACUGCAUACAGAAAAAAAAAAGGACCAUCCAAGAUGUGAAUAAACCUUGGCAAUCUGUGUCUGCCAGGUCUGUCCUUCUGGAACCUCUGCAUUCAUGUCUGAGCCCAACUCACUUGAUCUUAGAAAAACAGUAUUAAAUGAACGUUCGGAAACAUUAAGCAAGCAGCCCUUACACCACUACAAACCAGUUUGUGUUCCCACCGUGGUGAGCAGAGGAGCCACAGCUGAAUGGAAAUGGGAGCAGGAUGUGCAUGUCCAGGCCAGGAGUCACUCAGCACCAGGGGUAUAGUAUUUGGAUAACAAAUAAACCUUGCUGAAAGCCAACACCUGGCACAAAUGCGGAGAUCAGAAUCAGUAUUUCGCUGCUCAAGUGAAGCAAAACUUUCAUAAAUAGGUAAACUUGCCAUAAACAACCGUCCUCAUGUAGCAAAAGGAGAACCAGUGUUCGUGCUCUCUGAGCAGAAUAUCAGACGUGCAACCGUAAGGAGAAGCAAGCCCUCUGGGAGUGUCCUCUUGGCUUUUUCUCUACACAUUCAACUACACAAGUCUGCAGUGCUGCCACGCAUGACAAUCCACCAUGGUGAAACCAGAGGCACACAAAGCACGUAUUUGAACAGAGCAUUAAGAUUUGAGAAGACUGGGUGGAAAUUAUGUGGUGACUAUGGGAAGAAAAAAAAAAGAAAAAAAAAAAAAAAGGAAGAAAAAGAAAAGACAGAUCUCUGGUGCAUGCAUCAGUGUAAGUAACCGCAGUGACAACUCUCUUGGCCCUGAACAUUAGCUUUGACAAUAACCUGCUUUGCAGAUUACUGAGGCAAUGGUGACGCAUCAUGCUAUGUAUGUGACUAUAUCUGCACACUUCUCAUAGACGUGUGGGAGCUAGAGCUCUGAGGUAUGCACUUUAGGCUUCAUACGUCAUGACAGAAGAGUUAGAUACCUCAGGCUAUGCUACACAGCCUCGCUCUUGUGCUUCUUGUACUGCUGACCAGAAAUUGCGCAGCCACGUCAGCAGAGUGAGCAUGAACUAAUAUCCUCUUUACCCCAGCAGGACUCACCAGAUCAAAUUUAGCACUGUGAUAAUAGCCCAACACUGGAGCUGACCUGCAAUUCAACCAUCUCAGAAUCAAGGGCAAGGCAUGAUUUUGUUUGCCUUGUACUGACAGCCUUGGAAAGGCUGUCAAAAUGAGUCCACUGAGUAGAGAAUCACAUUUUAGGCAACCAAGAAGAAAUUCAGCUAGGCCCAGGCUGGGACCCAUCUCUGAGGUGCUGCAAGGUGUGGCUGACUCCAGCAGAUCAGCGCUGAAAGCACUGCAGGUCCAGAUUUCCAGCAGGGAUUCGUACCCACAGCUCUCAGCUUGGAGCCAAGUGCUCAGGCAGUCUGGAGAACAUAGCCUCCACCCUCCUUUAUUAAGCCAUUUGACUUUGAAUGAGUAAGCCUUGUCCUCAGAACACUGACUUGGGUCUAGGUGAGAUCUGAACUCUGGUCUCUGGGCUCGUUGGCAUUUUGCAAACAAGUGCGAAAGUAUCAGAGAGCCUCCAAGCUGCAAACAAGCCAAAGGUCUGGAAAAUGUUUGUAGGGGGUGUCAAGUCCUUCCCCAGGCCACUGUCACAGGCAGCAAGAUGGGCUUGGUGGCGUGGCUACAGCUGCCUUGGUGUUCUUAGCAGGGCCCAAAAUCUAGGUAGAUAUACAAACCAAGUGCUUCUGUGUAUGAAGAUCUAAAUGUCUGAGUGUGAGCACAGGAACAGAAUAUCAGGAAAAAAAAAGAAGAGAAAUUAGAGCUUAUGUUUGCUUAGCACUGAGAAUCAGCAGGCAAUUUUGAAUUUCUGUAGAGUUUAAUUGUCCAUUUGCUUCUCAAGAUAUCUAAAACCUCCUUGGCUCUCCCAGUAAAAUAAUUAAAUAUAUAAAAUAAAGUUAGCUUUGUUGACUUGCCGCAAACUUUAGCUUAAUUCAGUCAAGUCAGAAUUGCUUACCAAAUAAAACUGACUAAAAAUAUUUUACUUUAUCUCACUGAAGGCUAACUCUAAAACAAGCAUUAAAAAAAAAAAAAAAAAAGAGUGACCAUGAAGGUAGAUGGUUGACUUAAGGAGAAAAGCAUUUCAUCGGCCUGAACUAUGCUCUGACCUAAUUAUUACUAAACAGGGGUAAGUGUAGGUACAAACAGAACACAAAACAAGAUCUUCUAGCAUGUUAUUUUAGAAUAUAUCUUUCUGAGAUGAAACUUUCUAGAACAAGGUAUCUCAUCUAGAAAAACAGAGGAACUAAGGGAUGGAUUAAGGGCAAAAUAAGCCCUUUUAGUCUCUCUCUUGUGACCAGAGAUGACCAGAGAUAAUGUGAAAUGUGUGAUAAUGUGAUAUGCGCAAGCACAGGCACAUUCAUUUUGCAUCUGUCUUUUUCGUUAAGGUUAUGAAUUGAUAUUUGAAAACCUGAAAGCAUUAAGGAAGUGAGCUGCAGAACCCAGCCCCUUCCACUGGUGAACACACGAGAACCAGUACAAAAAUAUUACUUAACAGCAGCCAAAAUUAUGAAAGGAAAUUAAUGUGUUUAAACCCUCUGUUUCUUACUUGUUCCCACAUACUGACCGAACCUACAAGGGCUGGCCCAUCCAACUCCAGGAGCUGCAGAACAAAAGAGACACGGAUCUACAAAGGCAAAUCCAGAGAAGGGUCAUGAAGGUAGCUAGAGGACUGGAGCACCUCUCCUACAAAGGCUGAGGGAGUUGCGCUUGUUCAGUGUGGAGAAGAGAAAGAUCCAAGGAGAGCUGACUGUGGCUUUCCAGUAUUUGGAUGGGGCCUACGAGAAAGGUGAAGAAAGGGUGUUGUUUUUUGUUUGGUUGCUUGUUUUACCAGGGCCAGUAAUGACAAAACGAGGGACAAUGGUUUUAAAACUAAAAGGGGGUAGAUUUAGACUGAAUAUAAGGAAGAAUAUUUUUACUGAAAGGAUGGCAAGGCGCUGACACAGGCUGACCAGAAAAGCUGUGGAUGCCCCAUCCCUGGAAAUGUUCAAAGACAAAUUGGAUGGAACCCUGGGUAGCCCAACCCCCCUGCUAUGAACCGGAACUGGAUGAUCUUUAAGGUCCUUUCCAACCCUAAUCCAAACCAUUCUGCGAUUCUACUAAAUUAUCACAUCCCAGAAUAACAGAACCACUGAAUGUUUGAGGCUGGUAGGGGUUUCUUGGUCCACCUGGUCCAACUCCUGCUCAAGAGCAGGACACUGAGAGCAAGCUGCUCAGGCCCAUGUCCAGGCAGCUUCUCCAAGAUCUCCAAGGAGGAGACUCCACAGCCUCUCUGGGUGACGUGUGCCAGUGCUCCAUCACCUGCACAGCACAGAAGUGCUCCCCGGUGUUUGGAUGGAGCCCUCUGUAUUCCAAUUUUUGCCCAGUGCUUUUUGUCCUGGCACAUUUAUGAAGUGUCCUGGCACUGUUAGAAGGUUGUCUUGCACACUAUUAGAGUGGUUCUGUCUUCUCCAAAUCCUCCCUGUAGGUAUUUACAGACACUGGUGAGACCUCUUCUGAGCUGCCUUCUCUCCAGACUAAGCACUCCCAGCUCUUUCAGCCUUUCCUCAGAGGAGGAGUGCUCCAGGACCUCCAUCAUCUUCAACUCUCUUCAUAAUGUUCCUCAUACUGGGGAGACCAGAACUGGACACAGAACUCUAGGUAUAGCCUCACAAGUGCUGAGCAAAGGCCAAGGAUCACCUUCCUCAGCUGGCUGGCAAUACUCCUGAUGCAGCCCAGGAUAUCAUUGGCCUUCUUUGCUGCAAGGGCACGUUGCUGGCUCAUGUUCAACUUGGUGUCCAGCAAGACCCCCAGAGCCUUUUCUGCAGUUACUUUCUAGAUUCUUUUACCUCUCUCCUAAUGAACAGGACUAAUUUUAAGAGUUCGUAGCAAUCAAGUAUGAUUUAGAGAGAUCCUGUAAGAAACAUUAUCACUGCUAAUUAUAAAGGCAGAAAUUUGGUGUCCCUGUUCGUUGCAGGAGAGUUGGCCUUCGGUGGCCCCUUCCAAUUCUAAGAAUUCUAUGAUCCUAUGAUCUCCAUUUUGACUGAAGAGAAUUUCUACAGAGGUUGAAAUGAACGUCCAGAGGAAAUCUCUCACCACUGUCUGAUUUCAUUGCCUAACGCCACCAGUAGAGGCAAUUACAGCACUGUGGUGAACAGGUUUACUAGCAUUCCCACAGUCAAAACACCCAGCACCACGGCUCAGAGAGCUCCAAACCCAGGCGGUGCCAGAGCGUCGGCACCGCCACGGUGGGAAGGACUGCAGGAUGGUCGUGCAGCGACGGGUGCGUCCCGCUUCCUGGGGAGCGGAUGCCAGGAGGGAAGCACGGCUCUCGUUUGAACCGUAGUCCUGCAAAGUGGAUCACAGGGUCAGACAAGCCCCUCAGACACCUCUCUGUUUCCGGCAUAAAGCACCGCAAAAGGGGAGGGAAAGGAGACAAAUUCCCGCAAAUCGCUGGAAGCCGGACGUUACACUGGAAAACACUUGGGAAGCAAUUCUGAUCUCCAGGAUGUGCGGCGUACCUCAGCUUGCUUCCCCGCCCCUCCCGUCCCGAGGACCCUCUUGACAGGGUUGUCCCGCAGAACGUUCUGCGCCAGGGCUCGGGGAGGGCAUCCUGUCGGGAUGCCGCAGCCCUGCCCGGAGAUGCACGGCGCCGGUCACCAAGCGAGCGUUGCGCCGCACUAUGCCGGCCCCGCAGCGGGAGCGGAGUGGGUACCCGCCGCUAUGUCCCGCCUCAGCCCGAGGCACGGGGACGGCGGGCGGAGGUCGGCGUGACCGGGCCAGGGACGCCCCGAGCCGGAUUACCG